rnacentral:rRNA from 1 species
CGUGCCAGCAGCCGCGGUAAUACGUAGGGUGCAAGCGUUAUCCGGAAUUAUUGGGCGUAAAGAGCUCGUGGGCGGUUUGUCGCGUCUGUCGUGAAAGUCCGGGGCUCAACUCCGGAUCUGCGGUGGGUACGGGCAGACUAGAGUGAUGUAGGGGAGACUGGAAUUCCUGGUGUAGCGGUGGAAUGCGCAGAUAUCAGGAGGAACACCGAUGGCGAAGGCAGGUCUCUGGGCAUUAACUGACGCUGAGGAGCGAAAGCAUGGGGAGCGAACAGGAUUAGAUACCCUGGUAGUCCAUGCCGUAAACGUUGGGCACUAGGUGUGGGGGACAUUCCACGUUUUCCGCGCCGUAGCUAACGCAUUAAGUGCCCCGCCUGGGGAGUACGGCCGCAAGGCUAAAACUCAAAGAAAUUGACGGGGGCCCGCACAAGCGGCGGAGCAUGCGGAUUAAUUCGAUGCAACGCGAAGAACCUUACCAAGGCUUGACAUGAACCGGAAAGGCGUAGAAAUACGUCCCCCACUUGUGGUCGGUUUACAGGUGGUGCAUGGUUGUCGUCAGCUCGUGUCGUGAGAUGUUGGGUUAAAUCCCGCAACGAGCGCAACCCUCAUUCUAUGUUGCCAGCACGUGAUGGUGGGGACUCAUAGGAGACUGCCGGGGUCAACUCGGAGGAAGGUGGGGAUGACGUCAAAUCAUCAUGCCCCUUAUGUCUUGGGCUUCACGCAUGCUACAAUGGCCGGUACAAAGGGUUGCGAUACUGUGAGGUGGAGCUAAUCCCAAAAAGCCGGUCUCAGUUCGGAUUGGGGUCUGCAACUCGACCCCAUGAAGUCGGAGUCGCUAGUAAUCGCAGAUCAGCAACGCUGCGGUGAAUACGUUCCCGGGCCUUGUACACACCGCCCGUCAAGUCACGAAAGUUGGUAACACCCGAAGCCGGUGGCCUAACCCCUUGUGGGAGGGAGCCGUCGAAGGUGGGACUGGCGAUUGGGACU